ACAGAGAAGAGGAAGGGAGGAGGAGAGAAGGAGGGUGAAGACCAAAUGGCACUGUCAUGUGAAGUUUGGAGGCUUCCUUUCAACUCUCCCUUAUAAUUAGCUGGUGCAGCUGCAGGGGCAGAGCUCUGGCCUCUUCCCUCUGCUGCUUCAUGAUGUCCUGCCUCACCUUGAGCCCCGAGAAGUGGCGCCUGCUGUCUAUGGAUUGAGACCUCUGAAACUAGAUUGCAUAGAAUCUCCUCAAAAUCAGAAACAACAACAACAGCAAAAUGAACAAGAUGAGAUCUUUGGCCCAGAGAAAAGAUCACAUUUGCCUGGCAUCUCAAGACUGUCUGGGAAGCCAGGUCCACACAAGAACAUGAGACACCUGACAGUUCACUUGACAGCAGCGAGGAUCUCAUUCCAGCCAUCUAGGAUAAAAGCAGCCUCUACCAUUUCUGCAUCUCCAGAAAAGAAACACUAUGACCUCCUUUGAAAGUUUACCAGAGCCCCAACACAGCUGGAGAUUGAACACAGGACCUCAUGUGUGCUACGCAAGUCUUCUACCAUUGAGCUGCACCCCAACCUUGGUUGGCUUCUGCAUCUUGCAAACCAGAAAGCUAGGCUUUUUAAAAGCUGGUGGAGAAGAAAUUCUUACAUCCCAACUGCCAGAAGAGGAGGAGAUCCAUCAGUCUGACUGGAGUCGGCUUCUCCACCAGGAGAAGUGCUCUACCACUAAGCUACAACCCCAGCUGGAAUCAACUGGAUACGUCCCAUAUCCAAAGCACCUAGAAUUCUUCAACAGAAAAUUUUUUAGCUGGUACGAGGAGUCGCCCAGGAGAACUGUGAGCUCGCCUUCCUGCUUACUGCCGCAUCCUCAGGAAGAGACCGGCACAUUGUAGACGUAAGGAAGUUCUGCACAGAUGUGUUCCAGGUUGGGAUGGCAAUAUUCUGGUCCCUUCGGGUCCCUUCUGGCUCUGUCCUGUGGAACCUGAGAGAAUUUUCGGUCAGCUCCACCUCAGUGUGGAUGUGCCCAUGAGAUUCUUUCCUGAAGAAAGCGUUUCUCAUGGGCUGGGGAUGUGGCUCAAGCCGUAGCGCGCUCUCCUGGCAUGCGUGCGGCCCAGGUUCGAUCCUCAGCACCACAUACAAACAAAGAUGUUGUGUCCGCCGAGAACUAAAAAAAAUAAAUAUUAAAAAUUAAAAAAAAAAAAAGAAAGCGUUACUCAUGAAGAACUUGGUGUCCCGGAGAGAACAAGGUCGUGAGAAGGAAGACAGGAGUACAGAGCAUGGGUGUUGGCAUUUCCUGGCUCUGCCUACACCUCUACUUUUAGCUUUUCCUCCAAUAGAACCAGAAAUGUCCAAAUUUUCCCAGUCAGAAUGUUUUGAGGUCUUUGCUCUUUGUUUCCUAACCGUUUGCCUUCCCCCUUAAGCUCUCCCUAGAGUCCUCUGUGGUCACUGUCCCCUCUAUGUAUGCUUCCCUACCUACUGUGUGACAUUUGGCUACCCUCAGCAUCCAGGGUUCCUGGAUGGGAAUAAUCCUCACUCAAAGUGAGAUGUGUCGGGGAGAGGGCAUCGUCCCAGGGAGGCUGUCGGGGUGGCACAUGGUGUGAAUACCAGCCUGGAUAAUACAAAAACUCAACAUCUGGAUUCAGAAGAUGGUGGCUGUAGGCCCGGCUCUGGCCCUGACUGGACACAUUACUUUGGGCAGCCCAUUUAGGUUGCCUGAACCUAGAUAUCUUUAUUUGUGAAGGGAGGAAUGUUCAAGAUGGUAU